rnacentral:ncRNA from 2 species
UUCAACCGAUUGGGGUGCGCCGCAUGGUGCGGCGCUGAGAUCAUACCCAUCGAACCUGACGCGGUUCGCACCGCCGUAGGGAAUUCGGGACGCCUUGCAC